rnacentral:rRNA from 1 species
UACGGGGGGGGCAAGCGUUGUUCGGAAUUACUGGGCGUAAAGGGCGUGUAGGUGGCCAACUAAGUCCGACGUGAAAUCCCCAGGCUUAACCUGGGAACUGCGUCGGAUACUGGAUGGCUUGAAUUCGGGAGAGGGAUGCAGAAUUCCAGGUGUAGCGGUGAAAUGCGUAGAUAUCUGGAGGAAUACCGGUGGCGAAGGCGGCAUCCUGGACCGACAUUGACGCUGAUGAGCGAAAGCUAGGGGAGCAAACGGG